AACACACAUACACACACACAUACACAAAAAAAGGGGUCCUGGCCGGCGGAGGGAUACGGCUCCGUCGUCAUUUCCUUCGCCCCGCCGAGAGGAGCGCGGAUUGGCCGCUGCGCGUGACGUCACCGGCGGAGGGGCUCGCCCCGAGCGAGGCAGCUUGGUUGAAGUUUGUCUGAGGCUGACAAUUCUGAGGAGAUUUGGAGGGAAAAGAAAAAAUGGGGAAAUUCUGACCACGGGGUUCUGCUCUCCCCAGCUAGACAAUGGAGAGUCACACCAAAGGCAACCCUGGCCGAUGCAGAGCAGAAGCUGUCCAAUGUGAAGAAGCUUCUUGGAUGAGAAGUGAAACGUCUUCAAAGACAAACCAGAAAGUCCAGUUGCCUCUUGAAAAAAAAACACCUUUGGGACCGUCCAAUGUGUCUUAAUCUUGUGAUGAAAGAUGUGUACCUGAUUAUGUCAUACUCUUAUUAAACGUGCGACUCUUAUGAGACUGUUACACUGA